GGCAGGCAGAAGGGCUGAGGCAGGGGGACAUGGAAGAGGAGGAUCCACUUUCCCAUGUCAGCACUCCAACCACGAGGCAAUCUCCUCCACCAUAGCCGCUGCCAAUGUGGGCCAAGGGCAUGGCUUCAAUGUUGGGGUCCAGAGGCACCAGACCCCACCAUCA